GCGCAAUGAAUGCAUACCAUCUUUCGGGGCAUAACCAUCUUGAUGAUAACAUAACCCUACUGAGCGCA
rnacentral:snoRNA from 1 species